AGAGGUAUAGAAAUUGAAAGGAAACCCCGAUCUCGUCUGAUCUCGGAAGCUAAGCAGGGUCGGGCCUGGUUAGUACUUGGAUGGGAGAAAUUGAAAGGAAAAAGUAUAGAGUAUACUUUGC
rnacentral:rRNA from 1 species